AAUAAGUGCAGUCGUGGAUAUUUGUGCCCAACGUUUGACCGUCUGUCUUAUUUGAAAAAUUUGAAAAUAUUUAGUCACACAUAAAGUAUUAUUCAUAUUUUAUCAUCUAAUAGCAAUAAAAAUAUUAAUUAUAAAAAAAUUUCAAAUAAGACGAACGAUCAAAUGUUGAACGUGAAUAAUGCAAAACUGUACUUAUU
rnacentral:pre_miRNA from 1 species